AAGAAAAGUGACAUUUUUAUUUUUCUCAAGAAAAUUAAGUUAAGCACAAGGCCUCAUUCAGCCAUUUCAGUUCGAUUUGUGCAACAGGACUACAUCCCAAAUUUAAAAAUUAUAGCAGAAUACUGAUUGGUUUAUUUUGUCUUUUAUGGCUGUAUGGUAAUUUAAUGUCAUUCAUUUCAAGAGUUAUACCAAGCCCCAGUGUAGCCCAAUUGCUUACAGCAGCUAUUGCAGCCAGAAAAAAUAUGAAUAUUAGUAGUAGUAUCUAGUCCACAUUUGUAGGAGGUUUUUGGAAGGGAAAAGAAAGUAAGUUUUCAAGUGAAAACUUUUUUGAGGAGAUGUAACAGUAAUAUGGCGAAGAUAAAGCUAAAUAACUUAAAUUAUCCCAAAUUCAGCAGUUUCAGUGCUUCUUACCUACACUUACUCAUUUAUAAAUGAUAAAUAAAAAACCACCACCAACAACAACAAAAAAAAACGAAUCAAGUACCUAGCUAUACUGACACAGUCCAGGCUAAACACAGUAAGCACAGCUAUUUCUGCAUCUUUGUCUCUCUGGUCAUAGACUUUUCUUCUUUUCUUUAAACCACAUAGAUGUUCUUCGUUUUUCCCAGAAAGCAUUAUCCAUAACUUAUUCCCUGUUCAAUCCUACUGCCAGGAACCACCACCACCUAUCAUGCUAGCUAAUAAACUAGGAAUGAUUUUGCACUUACUCUGCCUAGUGUCACAUCAGCUGUGACUUGUACCAGGCUCCAGAUCACCCCUACUCAUAAAGUCUUUACAUGUACACUUUAUUACUGUAUUGUAUAAGGAGGCUGAGUGUCUGUGCACCAGGCAAGCAGGUGACUAAAUCUUGCUGUAUACUUCUGCUGCCCUCCCAGGCACUGGUACUUGCUUCCCUUGCAAGCUUCAAAAACUAUAGCAUAAGCCUUACUCACCUGCUGGAUCUCCUUCUGCCCCACCAGCCUUGCAGGGCCCUGCACUCCCACUGCCUUCCAGCACGAGAAAGGCUGAACCGGAGAGCUCUGUUUGGGGAUGGAGAGCUUGAUUUUACUGAGAGUAGACAACUGAGUUCUGGAAUGAGUAAUGUUGUGCUUGUAAAAAGAAAAGAGUACCUUCAAGGUUAUGUUUUCUGCUGUUUCAGCAGUUGUAGGUCAGCUGAAAAGAUUGCUAAGAGCAGCUGAAACCAGAGAGCCUUGCUAGGUUUUUGUGCAAAGUCCUGGUGACUUAGGGCUGUAACUUUGAGACAUUAAGUAUUUAACAGACUUCAUCCAUCAUUCCUGCAAAACAGAUUGAAGACAUCUUUUAAGUAGCACUUUAUCACAAAUAUUUCCGACUUAGGAAAAUAAAGGCAUAUAUAUUUUUAUGGACA
rnacentral:lncRNA from 1 species